CUGCGGUGGUUAGUGUUUCGCUAUUUGGGAGGUCCUUGUAGUCAAUGAUCUCACCUUGAUGGUAUAGGUGGAGUAGUCUGGAUAUGUCUCUUUGGUCAAAUGCUUGGAAGUGUUUUGCUACCAGUCCAGGGGGGAAGAGUUUAUUUCGGUAGAUAGGCGUCACCGGAGAUAUGAAGGAGGAUAGUUCGUAUUUGGGAUUGAGUUUGUCCCAUAGAGCCAGCGUGUGGGUGAUUGCCGGUGAGGUGGUUGGAGGGAGGGGCCGAUGUGCCGGAGGCACCCACAUGUAGGACGAUGGCUGGUCCCAUCCCAUGAUGUCGUGUUCCAGGUCUACCCAUCGUUUGGCACUCGGGGGGGCGUGCCAUUGUUGUAUGUGGGCCAGUUGGGCUGCGUUGUAGUAUUGCUGGAAGUUGGGUAGUCCCAGGCCUCCGCUGGUCUUGGGGACGUACAUAGUUGCCCUGCGGAUGCGUGGUUUUUUACCCUUCCAUAUGAAUUUGUCAAUGGCGGCCUGGAGAUCACAGAAAUCUUUUUUCCGUAUGGGGAUGGGUAACGUUUGAAAAAGAUAUAGGAAGCGUGGCAGCAAGUUCAUCUUGACGGUUGUAACUCUACCCAGCCACGAGAUCCCUAACUUGUCCCAGCGCUGGAGGUCCUGGUGAGCUGUUGUCAGCAAUGGUUUGUAGUUGAGGUCGUACGUGUCAUCCAAUUUUUGGGGCAAUCUGGUGCCCAAGUAGGUGAGGUGUGUCGUGGUGACUUUGAAUGGAAACGAGUGCCGCAAGAGGUGGAGUUGUUGUGCGUUCAUUGCCACGGGCAUGAGGAUGGACUUUGUCAGAUUGAGUUUGUACCCUGAGAAGUUGGAGUACUCGGAUAUCACCUCCAAAGUGGCGUGUAAGGAUGGGAGCGGGUCCGCUAAGGUUAGGAGGACGUCGUCCGCAUACUCUUCCCGUCUGAUGCGGAUGCCUCUGAUCUCUGGGUGAUUGCGUAUGGCCUGCAGGAGUGGUUCUAGCGAGAUUGCAAAUAUUAGGGGGGACAGGGGGCAGCCCUGUCUAGUUCCAUUCGUGAUGGUAAAGGUUUGGGCUUCGAUGUUGGGUAGGAGCAGUCUGCCCGUAGGACGGUUGUAAAUUGCCGCCAAAGCAUUCAGAAAUCCAGUCGGGAAUUCCAGGUGGGAUAGGAUGUGGAACAUGUAUGGCCAGAGAAGGCGGUCGAAUGCCUUCUCGGCAUCCAGCGAAAGCAUUACUGCCGG